GCAGGCUACCUGAUUCAAUUAUAAAUCACACCUAACAACGCACACGAGGCUACUACGAGCUUAGCUUAAAACCCAAAGGAUUUGACGGUGUUCCACCCAACUAGAGGAGCCUGUUCUGUAAUCGAUGAUCCACGAUAAACCUAACCAUUUUUUGCUACUCAGCCUGUAUACCGCCAUCUUCAGCAAACAA
rnacentral:rRNA from 1 species